AGUGAACGCUGGCGGUAGGCCUAACACAUGCAAGUCGAACGGCAGCACAGGAGAGCUUGCUCUCUGGGUGGCGAGUGGCGGACGGGUGAGGAAUACAUCGGAAUCUACUCUGUCGUGGGGGAUAACGUAGGGAAACUUACGCUAAUACCGCAUACGACCUACGGGUGAAAGCAGGGGACCUUCGGGCCUUGCGCGAUUGAAUGAGCCGAUGUCGGAUUAGCUAGUUGGCGGGGUAAAGGCCCACCAAGGCGACGAUCCGUAGGUGGUCGGAGAGGAUGAGCAGCAACACUGGAACUAAGACACGGUCCAGACUCCUACGGGAGGCAGCAGUGGGGAAUAUUGGACAAUGGGCGCAAGCCUGAUCCAGCCAUACCGCGUGGGUGAAGAAGGCCUUCGGGUUGUAAAGCCCUUUUGUUGGGAAAGAAAUCCAGCUGGCUAAUACCCGGUUGGGAUGACGGUACCCAAAGAAUAAGCACCGGCUAACUUCGUGCCAGCCGCCGCCGUAA
rnacentral:rRNA from 1 species